CAUCAGUAUUCACAAUAGCAAAGAUGUGGAAUCAACCUAAGUGCUCAUCAAUGACAGGUGAGGUGUCAGAUGCCCACAAGCUAGAGAACCAGAAGCUGAAGCUGACCAAAGCAGCAGCUCGGGCUGAGACUGAACAGUUCUGCCUACAGAGGGAGGAAGAGUUCAAGGCCAAGGAAGCCAUGGCACUAGUAUCCCAUGGCAGCUGCAGCAAUGAAGUGGAGAGGGCGACCCAGGAAAAAAGACUUUACUCCAGAUCUACUUCCCACUGGGCAUAUAUGAAGUCUUGAUUAACCUCUUGGCCUUUGUCUGCAACAUCUGGCCAUAAAUCUAUAAAACUACUGCAUAAAUA
rnacentral:lncRNA from 1 species